rnacentral:rRNA from 1 species
CGGGACGGGUGAGUAAUGCUGGGAAACUGCCUGAUGGAGGGGGGUAACUACUGGAAACGGUAGCUAAUACCGCAUAACGUCGCAAGACCAAAGAGGGGGACCUUCGGGCCUCUUGCCAUCGGAUGUGCCCAGAUGGGAUUAGCUAGUAGGUGGGGUAACGGCUCACCUAGGCGACGAUCCCUAGCUGGUCUGAGAGGAUGACCAGCCACACUGGAACUGAGACACGGUCCAG